rnacentral:rRNA from 1 species
AGAGUUUGAUUAUGGCUCAGAACGAACGCCGGCGGCAUGCCUAACACAUGCAAGUCGAACGAAGGCUUCGGCCUUAGUGGCGCACGGGUGCGUAACGCGUGGGAAUCUGCCCUUAGGUUCGGAAUAACAGCUGGAAACGGCUGCUAAUACCGGAUGAUAUCGCGAGAUCAAAGAUUUAUCGCCUGAGGAUGAGCCCGCGUUGGAUUAGGUAGUUGGUGGGGUAAAGGCCUACCAAGCCGACGAUCCAUAGCUGGUCUGAGAGGAUGAUCAGCCACACUGGGACUGAGACACGGCCCAGACUCCUACGGGAGGCAGCAGUGGGGAAUAUUGGACAAUGGGCGAAAGCCUGAUCCAGCAAUGCCGCGUGAGUGAUGAAGGCCCUAGGGUUGUAAAGCUCUUUUACCCGGGAAGAUAAUGACUGUACCGGGAGAAUAAGCCCCGGCUAACUCCGUGCCAGCAGCCGCGGUAAUAAGG